rnacentral:rRNA from 1 species
UACGGGGGGGGCAAGCGUUGUUCGGAAUUACUGGGCGUAAAGGGCUCGUAGGCGGCCAACUAAGUCAGACGUGAAAUCCCUCGGCUUAACCGGGGAACUGCGUCUGAUACUGGAUGGCUAGAGAUUGGGAGAGGGAUGCGGAAUUCCAGGUGUAGCGGUGAAAUGCGUAGAUAUCUGGAGGAACACCGGUGGCGAAGGCGGCAUCCUGGACCAACACUGACGCUGAGGAGCGAAAGCCAGGGGAGCAAAGCGGG